rnacentral:rRNA from 1 species
GGGGAAUUUUCCGCAAUGGGCGAAAGCCUGACGGAGCAAGACCGCGUGAGGGAGGAAGGCCCUUGGGUUGUAAACCUCUUUUCUCAGGGAAGAAGACUGACGGUACCUGAGGAAUCAGCCUCGGCUAACUCCGUGCCAGCAGCCGCGGUAAUACGGAGGAGGCAAGCGUUAUCCGGAAUUAUUGGGCGUAAAGCGUCCGCAGGUGGCGCCUCAAGUCUGCUGUCAAAGGUCGGGGCUUAACUCCGGAAAGGCAGUGGAAACUGAAGCGCUAGAGUGCGGUAGGGGUAGAGGGAAUUCCCGGUGUAGCGGUGAAAUGCGUAGAGAUCGGGAAGAACAUCGGUGGCGAAAGCGCUCUACUGGGCCGCAACUGACACUCAGGGACGAAAGCUAGGGGAGCGAAAGGGAUUAGAUACCCCAGUAGUC